AGAGCAGACCAGGCGGCCGCUCCGGAGUUUAUAGUUUGCACGUAGACACCGGAGAGGAAAGUCCGGGCUUCGCAGGGCAGGACGGCUGUUAACGGCAGCCGGGGGCGACCCCAGGGAAAGUGCAACAGAAAAUACACCGCCCGCUGAAAAGUUGCCGGGAAAUUGUCGACAAUUGUCAAAAACUUGAAGCUUCCUAUCAUGCGGGUAAGGGUGAAAUGGUGAGGUAAGAGCUCACCCGCCGCCGCGGUAACGCGGGGACGUGGUAAACCCCGUCCGGAGAAAGGCUGAAUAGGUUUUGCAUAUCGGGUUGCCCGCCCGAUUUCCCGUACGGGGAAAGGCAAAACGGGUACCAGCCGCUUGAGGCCGAAAGCGAUUUCGGCAUCCAGAUGAAUGGUCGCAUUACACAGAACCCGGCUUACGGUCUGCUCUGCUC
rnacentral:RNase_P_RNA from 1 species